rfam:Triticum aestivum genome assembly, contig: Triticum_aestivum_CS42_TGACv1_scaffold_641118_T_1BL-0.202560_5AL-0.105558
UAUCUACCCCUUCCGUUCCAAAAUUAUUGUCUUAGAUUUGCCUAAAUACAGAUGUAUCAAGUCACGUUUUAGUACUAGGUACAUCUGUAUCUAGACAAAUCUAAGAUAAGAAGUUUAGGACAGAAGGAAUACUUG